CCCUCCUUCAGUCUCUGUUUGAGUGAAAUGACUUUGCCACAGAGUCUCUGCCAGAGUUGAAUGAUUUUUGGUUCCUGCCUGAAACUGCCCAGACUCCUCAGUGUCCAGCUUCCUCUGAGGGAUGUAAACUGUGUUGGUGGCCAGAUGUCCACCGGGGGUUACCAUGGCAGCCAGUGGGGAGAGGUGCACCGGCGUGUGGAAGAAGCUGUGCUGGGGGAGCCCCGUCCCUUUGGGGGUGGUCAUCAGAGGCUGCAGGACAGAUAAUGAUCGGGCCCAACGGACGCAGAGGUGCCGCCCUUUUUGCUGAAAGCAGCCAAUGGGAGCGCCGCGAAAGGCAGCGUAGAGGAAGUGGAUGACUGUCCCGCGCAG